rnacentral:rRNA from 1 species
AGAGCGAACGCUGGCGGCAGGCCUAACACAUGCAAGUCGAGCGCUCCGCAAGGGGAGCGGCAGACGGGAGAGUAACACGUGGGAACGUACCCUUCAGUUCGGAACAACCCAGGGGAAACUUGGGCUAAUACCGAAUACGUCCGUAAGGAGAAAGAUUUAUCGCUGAAGGAUCGGCCCGCGUCUGAUCAGCUAGUUGGUGAGGUAACGGCUCACCAAGGCUUUGACGGGUAGCUGGUCUGAGAGGACGACCAGCCACACUGGGACUGAGACACGGCCCAGACACCUACGGGUGGCAGCAGUCGAGAAUUUUUGACAAUGGGGGAAACCCUGAUCGAGCGACGCCGCGUGGAGGAUGAAGGUCUUCGGAUUGUAAACUCCUGUCAUUUGGGAACAAGGUGCACACGUUAACUGCGUGCGUAUUGAUAGUACCAGAAGAGGAAGAGACGGCUAACUCUGUGCCAGCAGCCGC